rnacentral:lncRNA from 1 species
CGCUGAGGGACCGCGGGGAGCAGGAUGGAGGGACGGGAACACGCGGGGACGCGGGGCUGGGACGGGAGAGACCAGGGCAGGGAAGGCGUUGCAAUGUCCCCAUCCUCCUCCCGUUCCGCUUAAUGGCGUGCUCCCCAGCCCUGCUCCUUCACCAGCUCUGGGGAUUUAAUGUGUGCUAAUGGCCCUGAUGAGGCCAUGCCAUACAGAUCUGCUCAUCUGUGGAAAGAAGCUGUGUGUCCCACUGCCAGGAAAGCAGGAAAAGAGUUUUUAACCCCAUCAUGAUAAUAAUGAUACACAAUGCCUGAUCAGGACAAAAAGUUGAAGAGCACAGCAAAAGCAAUAAAAACAAAAGCCUUCUGGGAUCUCUAUGAGGUGUAGUAUCUGACGUUUUACUUUGAACUUCAGUGGGACUCGUGUGGAAUUUACACUGGCUGCCAAAGCAGAAUGCUUCAAUUUGAAGUGCAGUAUAAACAUGACAACUGUUACUCUGGUCACAAAGUUUAUUUACACCUAUGUUGACUUAAGGCAUUCUGGAGAAGCUGUGAAUUCUGCUGUACGCAAAAGUGGACACCAGGCAACGCUAGAAAACUUUAUUUUCUGGAUUAUUCUGAUCUAA